rnacentral:lncRNA from 1 species
ACCCUGAGGAAAAUGAACAGAGUUUCCGAAGAAAAGAUAGGGAGGGGAGACAAGAGAUGGAGAGAAAUCGCAUGGCGGCGAUAGGGAGGGAGGGUUCUUAUCCUCGUAGAGAUUUUGAUCCUAGCUUGACCCAUGAUAUGCAAAUGAAACCUGAGGGUUUUGAUCGGCGAAAGGAGCGGGAAAAUUCUGAUGGAGUCUGGCAAAGGAGAGAGGAUGAACCUUACAGCAGAAAAAAUAGAAUUGAAGACACAAGGAAGAGGGAGCGUGAGCAUCUUGAUGAAAUUGGAGCAAGGCACAGAGGUAAGGCCCGGGAAAGUGAGAGGAUUGACAGAGAUGAAUAUCUUCAUUCAAGAAAGCAGUUGGA